AACAAGGCGUACCUGCGGACCUGCGGAGGGAUCAUUACCGAGUUUACAACUCCCAAACCCCUGUGAACAUACCUAUACGUUGCCUCGGCGGAUCAGCCCGCGCCCCGUAAAAAGGGACGGCCCGCCCGAGGACCCCUAAACUCUGUUUUUAGUGGAACUUCUGAGUAAAACAAACAAAUAAAUCAAAACUUUCAGCAACGGAUCU
rnacentral:misc_RNA from 1 species